rnacentral:lncRNA from 1 species
AUGGGGGGACAAAGCUGGUCACGCUUGGGGGUCUGGGGGCAUCGUCCCGCUAUCCCACCCCCCUCACCUGGCGCUAGGUCCCGCCAUCCCACCCCAUUCACCCGGCCCUGCCGUUCCCGCAUCCCCCAAUGUUCAUCUGGCUCCAGGUCCCAUCAUUCCCAAAUCCCGCCCCGCUCACCUGGGGCCUGGCUGUCCGAGCAGGAGCGUGGCCGGAACCCCUCGCCCCUCCACGUGCCCAAAUCCUGCCUCGGAGGCUGCCGGGUGGGCUGCGGGCGAGGAGGAGACGGGCAGGGCGUGAGCUGGGACCCCCACACCCCCUCCCCAUUCAUCCCCCCCCUUCCCCCCGGCCCUCACCAGGGUGUCCGGGCGGGCGCCCCGGGCUCCGGCCGCCUGCUGCCGGAGGACGCGGUUGUCCUGCUGCAGCCGCGCCAGGCGCUCCAGCAUCUGGCACACGUGCUCCAGGUAGCGCAGCCCCUGCCCCGGCACCGCGGCCUCGGGCACAGCCCGGGGGUCCCGAGGGCUGCCGGGCGGCCGAGCGCCCCCAGCCUCGGGCUCCUCGGGGUCCCGCGGGGGUUCUGCCAGGUCGGCGGCGCUGGCGCUGCGCCGGCUGAGCUGUCGCGGGCAGCGCUGCCUCCUGCUCCGCUGCGCUGCCUGCAGCAGCCUCCUGCUGGCCGAGCGGCUCCGGGGUGUCCGCGGGGGCUCCUCUCCGGGGGGCUUCUCCGCCGGGAAGCCGUCGAGGGAGAAGCUGCUCUCGGAGCCCAGCGGGGUGGAGGGCGAGUGCUCGUUGCUGGCCAUCUCCACGCCGGAAUCCUCGGACUCGGACUUGAGGAAUCUCCCGCCGGCCGGGAGGCUGCUGGGGGGUCCCCGGGUGCUCAUCCCCCGCGGGGGCUGCCGCGGGCUCUCCUGCAGCCGGCGGUAGACGCUGGCGGAGGUGUACACGAUGCAGCUCUCGGCAGACUCCCAGGGACCAUCUGCGGGGGGAGGGAGGACGGGUGGUCUCAGCUGGGGGGUUGUCCCUGGGCAGAAAACUGGGUGCCCACCCCCCACACUGAACCCACUGGCCCCCCCAAGCCCCCCGAGCCCCACAACAGCAGCUCCAGCCGUGCCCAAGGCCUCACUCCCCGCUGCCAAGGGGAGUUGCAGCCCCCCUGCCCAGGGACCCCUCUCCAGAGGGUCCCUGCAGCCGGGAGUAUGUUCCUGUGUUCCUACAACCCCAGCGUGUUGUCGCUGCUCCCCAAAAACACGGCCCCGGCCUCCAUCAUCCUCCUCCUCUUCUUCCCAAGCCACUCUGCUGAGCUGCUGGGGGGGCACCCACGGCCCCCACCCUGA